rnacentral:rRNA from 1 species
GCAUAUCAAUAAGCGGAGGCCGAGAAACUAACAAGGAUUCCCCUAGUAACUGCGAGUGAAGAGGGAAAAGCUCAAAUUUAAAAUCUGGUAGUCCCUGUGGCUGCCCGAGUUGUAAUUUAGAGAAGUGUUAUCCGCGCUGGACCGUGUACAAGUCUCCUGGAAGGGAGCAUCAUAGAGGGUGAGAAUCCCGUCUUUGACACGGACUACCAGGGCUUUGUGAUGCGCUCUCGAAGAGUCGUGUUGUUUGGGAAUGCAGCACUAAAUGGGUGGUAAAUUCCAUCUAAAGCUAAAUAUUGGCGAGAGACCGAUAGCGAACAAGUACCGUGAGGGAAAGAUGAAAAGAACUUUGGAAAGAGAGUUAAACAGUACGUGAAAUUGCUAAAAGGGAAACGCUUACAGUCAGUCGCGUUGGCCGGGGAUCAACCUUGCUUUUUGCUGGGCGUACUUCCUGGUCGACGGGUCAACAUCAGUUUUGAUUGCUGGAUAAAGGCUAGGGGAAUGUGGCAUCCUCGGAUGUGUUAUAGCCCUUAGUUGUAUACAGCAGUUGGGACUGAGGAACUCAGCACGCCGCAAGGCCGGGUCUUGUACCACGUACGUGCUUAGGAUGUUGGCAUAAUGGCUUUAAUCGACCCGUCUUGAAACACGGACCAAGGAGUCUAACAUGCAUGCGAGUGUUUGGGUGGAAAACUCGAGCGCGUAAUGAAAGUGAAAGUUGAGAUCUCUGUCGUGGAGAGCAUCGACGCCCGGACCAGAGCUUUUGUGACGGAUCUGCGGUAGAGCAUGUAUGUUGGGACCCGAAAGAUGGUGAACUAUGCCUGAAUAGGGUGAAGCCAGAGGAAACUCUGGUGGAGGCUCGUAGCGAUUCUGACGUGCAAAUCGAUCGUCGAAUUUGGGUAUAGGGGGCGAAAGACUAAUCGAACCAUCUAGUAGCUGGUUCCCUGCCGAAG